GCCUUCCCUGACCUCUCCAACAAAGAUUAAAACCCAAGUCGGAAGGAUCAUACGUGUUUUUGCUUAUCAUUGCUAGACGCAAGUCGCCACCACCAUGACUUGAGCACCAUUGGAAAAGAGGUAAGGAUCCUCUAAUCUUUAAGUUUAAUUGGUUUACCAUCCUCCUUAACCCUCAAAGCUUUUUGAAUUUUUCUUAAAAAUUUGAUUCACUAUUUUUCCAUGAUAUUUUAAGGAUUUUUCUAGUUUCGAUUGUUGCCACCGAACACC
rnacentral:lncRNA from 1 species